CGCGUAGGUGGAUCUUCAAGUCGGAUGUGAAAACCGGUGGCUUAACCGCCGGCCUGCAUCUGAUACUGGCGAUCUUGAGUACGGGAGAGGAAAGCGGAAUUCCUGGUGUGGCGGUGAAAUGCGUAGAUAUCAGGAGGAACACCGGUGGCGAAGGCGGCUUUCUGGCCCGAUACUGACACUGAGGCGCGAAGGCCGGGGAGCAACA
rnacentral:rRNA from 1 species